rnacentral:rRNA from 1 species
UAAAUUAGGAUUAGAUACCCUAUUAUACUUUACUGAAAAUUAGAUAUGCUUGAGUAGUAAUCGGUUAUGAUCUUGAAACUUAAAGGAUUUGGCGGUAUUUUAGUCUAGUUAGGGGAACCUGUUUUAUAAACGAUAAACCACGAAGUAUCUUACCUUUCUUGGUUAUGUCAGUAUGUAUACCGUCAUUAUUAGAUGGUCUUUAUAAAGAGCCAUUAAAAUAGUUCUAUGUUAAAAUAUUAGAUCAAGGUGCAGCGGAUGGAGAGGAAAAUAAUGGGUUACAAUGUUGUUAAAAUAUACGGAUAUAUAAUUGAAUGUUGUAUAUGAAGGUGGACUUAAGUGUAAUUAUAUUUUAAUAAGGUAUAAUGAUAUUAGCUCUAUAAUAUGUACACAUCG